rnacentral:ncRNA from 1 species
UGAAAAAUUUUGAUAGAGACAAAAAUACUAACACUAUCAACUACAGAGAGCUAACAACUGGUGAAAGUUAGCGUUGAUAGUAGUAUAUAAUGAUCACUCUUGAAUUGCUGAAUUGAAAAGGAUACUAUAUUCUUAGUAAAUGAGGUCGGUGCUACCGUUAAAUAGCUAUGGUUCAAAAUGAGGCAAUAAUUUAUUAUUGUGAAUUAGGGUGGUACCACGAAAGUAAAUCUUUCGUCCCUUAU